rnacentral:misc_RNA from 1 species
GAUGAAGAACGUAGCGAAAUGCGAUAAGUAGUGUGAAUUGCAGAAUUCAGUGAAUCAUCGAAUCUUUGAACGCACAUUGCGCCCGCCAGCAUUCUGGCGGGCAUGCCUGUUCGAGCGUCAUUUCAACCCCUCAGGCCCUAGCGCCUGGCGUCGGAGGCUUUCCCCCCUCACCGGGGAACCUCUCAGAAACAGUGGCGGACCCGCCGCGGCUCCGAGCGCAGUAGUUAAAAAGCGUGUCGCUCUGGAGAUCACCGCGGGGAGCCUCGCCGUUAAACCGGGCCGGUGACCUGGCCCACGCACAAGGUUGACCUCGGAUCAGGUAGGAAUACCCGCUGAACUUAAGCAUAUCAAUAAGCGGAGGA